AGUGCCAUUGCUGGGUUGUAUAGUAAGUAUGUUUAUUUUUUAUAAGAAAUUCCCAAAUUAUUUUUUAGAGUGACUGUACCAUUUUACAUUCCCACAGCAAU
rnacentral:pre_miRNA from 1 species